UUUUGAUAUAGACCGUCCAUCGCUUUGAUCUGGACCAUCCGAUCGCGAUUAAAUAGGGAGUGAAUAUGAGCCGUUCAUCGCGAUUCAAUCUGGACCGUCCGUGCGCGAUUCAAUCUGGACCGUCCAUGCGCGAUGCAAUCUGGGCAGUCCGUGCGCGUUUUUAAUCUGGGCUGUCCGUGCGCGCUGGAACGGAUCUCAACCGUUCGAUCGCGCGCACGCGGAUCGCCCACGUGGAUCGCCCACGUGACUCCCCCCGCAUGGCCUCCCGCGUCAGCGCCUCUGCCACCUGGCGCGUCCUGGUUGGUCGGGGUUGCUGACCGGGCAUCUGACGUGGCGUAACUUUUAUAAAUUACGUUUUGAC
rnacentral:lncRNA from 1 species